GGCGCUGUAGUGUAGAGGUUAUCACUCGAGAUUUUGAUAUACCACGAUGACUCAUAGAAAUCUUUCUCGAAACCCAGGUUCGAGUCCUGGCAGUGCCU